GACCGACGGUGCGACGAAUACAAUACCCGCAAGGGAAAUAAGUCCGCCUGAAUGUAUUGCAGGUUUUGAGCCGUUGGUCGCCCUAUU
rnacentral:ncRNA from 1 species